rnacentral:rRNA from 1 species
GACGAACGCUGGCGGCGUGCCUAAUACAUGCAAGUAGAACGCUGAAGGAGGAGCUUGCUUCUCUGGAUGAGUUGCGAACGGGUGAGUAACGCGUAGGUAACCUGCCUGGUAGCGGGGGAUAACUAUUGGAAACGAUAGCUAAUACCGCAUAAUAGUAGAUGUUGCAUGACAUUUGCUUAAAAGGUGCAAUUGCAUCACUACCAGAUGGACCUGCGUUGUAUUAACUAGUUGGUGGGGUAACGGCUCACCAAGGCGACGAUACAUAGCCGACCUGAGAGGGUGAUCGGCCAAACUGGGACUGAGAAACGGCCCAGACUCCUACGGGAGGCAGCAGUAGGGAAUCUUCGGCAAUGGACGGAAGUCUGACCGAGCAACGCCGCGUGAGUGAAGAAGGUUUUCGGAUCGUAAAGCUCUGUUGUAAGAGAAGAACGAGUGUGAGAGUGGAAAGUUCACACUGUGACGGUAUCUUACCAGAAAGGGACGGCUAACUACGUG